UACGUAGGGUGCGAGCGUUGUCCGGAUUUAUUGGGCGUAAAGAGCUCGUAGGCGGUUUGUCGCGUCGGCCGUGAAAUCUCCACGCUUAACGUGGAGCGUGCGGUCGAUACGGGCAGACUUGAGUUCGGUAGGGGAGACUGGAAUUCCUGGUGUAGCGGUGAAAUGACGCAGAUAUCAGGAGGGAACACCCGGUGGCGAAGGCGGGUCUCUGGGCCGAUACUGACGCUGAGGAGCGAAAGCGUGGGGAGCGAACAGG
rnacentral:rRNA from 1 species